UACGUAGGGGGCAAGCGUUGUCCGGAUUUAUUGGGCGUAAAGCGCUCGCAGGUGGUUCGUUGCGUCGUGCGUGAAAGACCCCGGCUCAACUGGGGGAUGUCGUGCGAUACGGGCGGACUGGAGGCCAGUAGGGGGAUGCGGAAUUCCAGGUGUAGCGGUGAAAUGCGUAGAUAUCUGGAGGAACACCGGUGGCGAAGGCGGCAUCCUGGACCGACACUGACGCUGAGGAGCGAAAGCCAGGGGAGCAAACGGG
rnacentral:rRNA from 1 species